rnacentral:rRNA from 1 species
ACUGAAUAGAUACCCGGGUAGUCCAUGCCGUAAACGUUGGGAACUAGGUGUGGGUCUCAUUCCACGAGAUCCGUGCCGCAGCUAACGCAUUAAGUUCCCCGCCUGGGGAGUACGGCCGCAAGGCUAAAACUCAAAGGAAUUGACGGGGGCCCGGCACAAGCGGCGGAGCAUGCGGAUUAAUUCGAUGCAACGCGAAGAACCUUACCAAGGCUUGACAUACACCGGAAACGAUUCAGAGAUGGGUGCCCGCAAGGUCGGUGUACAGGUGGUGCAUGGUUGUCGUCAGCUCGUGUCGUGAGAUGUUGGGUUAAGUCCCGCAACGAGCGCAACCCUCGUUCUAUGUUGCCAGCACGUGAUGGUGGGGACUCAUAGGAGACUGCCGGGGUCAACUCGGAGGAAGUGGGGAUGACGUCAAAUCAUCAUGCCCCUUAUGUCUUGGGCUUCACGCAUGCUACAAUGGCCGGUACAAAGGGCUGCGAAACCCGUGAGGUGGAGCGAAUCCCAAAAAACCGGGUCUCAGUUCGGAUUGGGGUCUGCAACUC